AGUGAACGCUGGCGGUAGGCCUAACACAUGCAAGUCGAACGGCAGCACAGUAAGAGCUUGCUCUUACGGGUGGCGAGUGGCGGACGGGUGAGGAAUACAUCGGAAUCUACUUUUUCGUGGGGGAUAACGUAGGGAAACUUACGCUAAUACCGCAUACGACCUACGGGUGAAAGCAGGGGAUCUUCGGACCUUGCGCGAUUGAAUGAGCCGAUGUCGGAUUAGCUAGUUGGCGGGGUAAAGGCCCACCAAGGCGACGAUGCGUAGCUGGUCUGAGAGGAUGAUCGGCCACACUGGAACUGAGACACGGUCCAGACUCCUACGGGAGGCAGCAGUGGGGAAUAUUGGACAAAGGGCGCAAGCCUGAUCCAGCCAUGCCGCGUGAGUGAAGAAGGCCUUCGGGUUGUAAAGCCCUUUUGUUGGGAAAGAAAAGCAGCAGGUUAAUACCCCGCUGUUCUGACGGUACCCAAAGAAUAAGCACCGGCUAACUUCGUG
rnacentral:rRNA from 1 species